rnacentral:rRNA from 1 species
UGGGGAAUUUUGGACAAUGGGCGCAAGCCUGAUCCAGCAAUGCCGCGUGAGUGAAGAAGGCCUUCGGGUUGUAAAGCUCUUUUGUCAGGGAAGAAACGGUUCGGGCUAAUACCCUGGGCUAAUGACGGUACCUGAAGAAUAAGCACCGGCUAACUACGUGCCAGCAGCCGCGGUAAUACGUAGGGUGCAAGCGUUAAUCGGAAUUACUGGGCGUAAAGCGUGCGCAGGCGGUUGUGCAAGACCGAUGUGAAAUCCCCGGGCUUAACCUGGGAAUGGCAUUGGUGACUGCACGGCUAGAGUGUGUCAGAGGGGGGUAGAAUUCCACGUGUAGCAGUGAAAUGCGUAGAGAUGUGGAGGAAUACCGAUGGCGAAGGCAGCCCCCUGGGAUAACACUGACGCUCAUGCACGAAAGCGUGGGGAGCAAACA